rnacentral:lncRNA from 1 species
UUGCAUAAUGUUUAAUCAGUUCAUGUGCUAGGAUAAUACUGUCAGCAAUCCUCCUACCAGGAAUAAAACCUUCCUGGGUAUCACAGAUGAUACUGGCUAUGCAUUUCUGUAAUAUAUUGGCCAAUAUCUUGGAGAUGAUUUUAUACAAAACUGAACAACAAGCUAUUGGUCGAAAUUCCUUGACUGAUUGUGGAUUAGCAACUUUAGGAAUCAAGGUGAGGGAGGCACAGUUAACUGGUUUAUACAUUCUACUGGUCAAGCUAUUGGUCGAAAUUCCUUGACUGAUUGUGGAUUAGCAACUUUAGGAAUCAAGGUGAGGGAGGCACAGUUAAUUGGUUUAUACAUUCUACUGGUCUGGAAGAAGUCCAUAACAGCCCUAGUGAUCUGAUUGCCAUUGAUACACCAUGUCUAUUUGAAAAAAGUAGCAUUGUAUCCAUCAAUACCUGGAGCUUUAUGAUCACCUAUGGCCUUUAAGCUGUCUACAAUUUCAUCCAAAGUAACAUCAGCAAUUAACUGUUGCAUCUGGUUGUGUGUGAGUU